ACGCUUCAAGAUGAGGAUUCCCCAGCCUCGUGCUGGUAAGGCCCCCGGCAGACCACCGGGUUGAUGGGUCGGACGUGGAAGCGCCGCGAGGCGUGGAGCUGACCGAUCCCAAACGGCCGAGAGGCUUGCCCCA
rnacentral:ncRNA from 1 species